rnacentral:rRNA from 1 species
GGGUAGUUUGACUGGGGCGGUCUCCUCCCAAAGAGUAACGGAGGAGCACGAAGGUUAGCUAAUCACGGUCGGACAUCGUGAGGUUAGUGCAAAGGCAUAAGCUAGCUUGACUGCGAGAGUGACGGCUCGAGCAGGUACGAAAGUAGGUCUUAGUGAUCCGGUGGUUCUGAAUGGAAGGGCCAUCGCUCAACGGAUAAAAGGUACUCCGGGGAUAACAGGCUGAUACCGCCCAAGAGUUCAUAUCGACGGCGGUGUUUGGCACCUCGAUGUCGGCUCAUCACAUCCUGGGGCUGAAGUAGGUCCCAAGGGUAUGGCUGUUCGCCAUUUAAAGUGGUACGCGAGCUGGGUUUAGAACGUCGUGAGACAGUUCGGUCCCUAUCUGCCGUGGGCGUUGGAAGAUUGAGAGGGGUUGCUCCUAGUACGAGAGGACCGGAGUGAACGCACCACUGGUGUUCGGGUUGUCAUGCCAAUGGCAUUGCCCGGUAGCUAAGUGCGGAAAAGAUAAGCGCUGAAAGCAUCUAAGCGCGAAACUUGCCUCA